CACCCUUUGGGUGUGACUGCGUACCUUUUGUAUAAUGGGUCAGCGACUUAUAUUCUGUAGCAAGGUUAACCGAAUAGGGGAGCCGGAGGGAAACCGAGUCUUAAUUGGGCGUUAAGUUGCAGGGUAUAGACCCGAAACCCGGUGAUCUAGCCAUGGGCAGGUUGAAGGUUGGGUAACACUAACUGGAGGACCGAACCGACUAAUGUUGAAAAAUUAGCGGAUGACCUGUGGCUGGGGGUGAAAGGCCAAUCAAACCGGGAGAUAGCUGGUUCUCCCCGAAAGCUAUUUAGGUAGCGCCUCGUGAAUUCAUCUCCGGGGGUAGAGCACUGUUUCGGCUAGGGGGCCAUCCCGGCUUACCAACCCGAUGCAAACUGCGAAUACCGGAGAAUGUUAUCACGGGAGACACACGGCGGGUGCUAACGUCCGUCGUGAAGAGGGAAACAACCCAGACCGCCAGCUAAGGUCCCAAAGUCAUGGUUAAGUGGGAAACGAUGUGGGAAGGCCCAGACAGCCAGGAUGUUGGCUUAGAAGCAGCCAUCAUUUAAAGAAAGCGUAAUAGCUCACUGGUCGAGUCGGCCUGCGCGGAAGAUGUAACGGGGCUAAACCAUGCACCGAAGCUGCGGCAGCGACACUGUGUGUUGUUGGGUAGGGGAGCGUUCUGUAAGCCUGUGAAGGUGUGUCGUGAGGCAUGCUGGAGGUAUCAGAAGUGCGAAUGCUGACAUAAGUAACGAUAAAGCGGGUGAAAAGCCCGCUCGCCGGAAGACCAAGGGUUCCUGUCCAACGUUAAUCGGGGCAGGGUGAGUCGACCCCUAAGGCGAGGCCGAAAGGCGUAGUCGAUGGGAAACGGGUUAAUAUUCCCGUACUUGGUGUUACUGCGAAGGGGGGACGGAGAAGGCUAUGUUGGCCGGGCGACGGUUGUCCCGGUUUAAGCGUGUAGGUGUGUGUUCCAGGUAAAUCCGGUUCACUUUAACACUGAGGCGUGACGACGAGGCACUACGGUGCUGAAGCAACAAAUGCCCUGCUUCCAGGAAAAGCCUCUAAGCAUCAGGUAACAUCAAAUCGUACCCCAAACCGACACAGGUGGUCAGGUAGAGAAUACCAAGGCGCUUGAGAGAACUCGGGUGAAGGAACUAGGCAAAAUGGUGCCGUAACUUCGGGAGAAGGCACGCUGACACGUAGGUGAAGUGAUUUACUCAUGGAGCUGAAGUCAGUCGAAGAUACCAGCUGGCUGCAACUGUUUAUUAAAAACACAGCACUGUGCAAACACGAAAGUGGACGUAUACGGUGUGACGCCUGCCCGGUGCCGGAAGGUUAAUUGAUGGGGUCAGCGCAAGCGAAGCUCCUGAUCGAAGCCCCGGUAAACGGCGGCCGUAACUAUAACGGUCCUAAGGUAGCGAAAUUCCUUGUCGGGUAAGUUCCGACCUGCACGAAUGGCGUAAUGAUGGCCAGGCUGUCUCCACCCGAGACUCAGUGAAAUUGAACUCGCUGUGAAGAUGCAGUGUACCCGCGGCAAGACGGAAAGACCCCGUGAACCUUUACUAUAGCUUGACACUGAACAUUGAGCCUUGAUGUGUAGGAUAGGUGGGAGGCUUUGAAGUGUGGACGCCAGUCUGCAUGGAGCCGACCUUGAAAUACCACCCUUUAAUGUUUGAUGUUCUAACGUGGACCCGUUACCCGGGUUGCGGACAGUGUCUGGUGGGUAGUUUGACUGGGGCGGUCUCCUCCUAAAGAGUAACGGAGGAGCACGAAGGUUGGCUAAUCCUGGUCGGACAUCAGGAGGUUAGUGCAAUGGCAUAAGCCAGCUUGACUGCGAGCGUGACGGCGCGAGCAGGUGCGAAAGCAGGUCAUAGUGAUCCGGUGGUUCUGAAUGGAAGGGCCAUCGCUCAACGGAUAAAAGGUACUCCGGGGAUAACAGGCUGAUACCGCCCAAGAGUUCAUAUCGACGGCGGUGUUUGGCACCUCGAUGUCGGCUCAUCACAUCCUGGGGCUGAAGUAGGUCCCAAGGGUAUGGCUGUUCGCCAUUUAAAGUGGUACGCGAGCUGGGUUUAGAACGUCGUGAGACAGUUCGGUCCCUAUCUGCCGUGGGCGCUGGAGAACUGAGGGGGGCUGCUCCUAGUACGAGAGGACCGGAGUGGACGCAUCACUGGUGUUCGGGUUGUCAUGCCAAUGGCACUGCCCGGUAGCUAAAUGCGGAAGAGAUAAGUGCUGAAAGCAUCUAAGCACGAAACUUGCCCCGA
rnacentral:rRNA from 1 species